GACCAAUCCGGUGGCUUAGUGGUUAGAGCGUCCGCCUCGAAUGUGGGAGGUUGCGGUUUCGAAUCCAAUUUGAGUCA